rnacentral:lncRNA from 10 species
CAUAGAAUAUAUCUAGAUGUGGGGAAAGUCUCCUAUUUGGUAAUUUAGUUAAAAUGUAAAUGUUAUAUCACAGCAUAUGUUGGUAUGUUUUGGAGUGUGCUUCCAUUGUGCUCAGCUUUUGAAAAGUUUGAAAUCCACUUUAGUCAAAUGUAGUCAAUGGGAUUUCCAGAGAUACAUAUUGUUUUUCUUAGUGUACCACACACUCCUUGAAGGCAGAUACUGUACUUAAUAUAUCACUGUCUUCCAUAAUACUGCCCUAGGUCUUUUUAGUUUUUAAGAGACCGGGUCUCGCUAUGUUUCCCAUGCUGAACUCAAAUGCCUGGGCUUAAGCAAUCCUCCCACCUCAGCCUCUGGAGUAGCUGGGACUACAGGGGCAUGCACCACCAGGCCUGGCUUCCUAGGAGGGUCUUUAAAGAGAAAAUAUUUGUUCAAUUGAAAACAGGAUUCUUGUCAUCUACAACUCCAACACAGCCUGAAAAUAUCCACAUUAUAACCUGGACCUUAGACCUACUUUCUCCACUAUCCUGCAAAGCUACAUCUGUAACUACCUAUUGGCUAUCUAUAUGAGUCCUCAAGCAUCUCAGACUUUACAUGAAUAAAACUCAACUUCCUUCCCAUUCAAAUCUGUUUAUUUUCUUCUGUAAGAGAAAGAUACCAUUUGAGACUCCAGAAUCUGCCUCUAACUCUCAACAAGACUCUGCAAUUACUCAAGUAUCCUUUCCAUCCUCAUUGCCCUGCUGUUAUUACAUAGGCCCUGGUUCAAGUCCUUGUUACUUGUUCCCAUUAUUGCAAUAACUUCUAAUUCCAAUGCCGUUGUGUGAUCCCAUUUUAAACACGGCCAGAGCAGUCUUCCAACAACAUAGCUCUAAUCUAGUUUCAUCCCCACUUUUACAUGCCUCAGUGGCUUUCCCAGUGACUUGGCAUGGAACACGUCCUCAGUUGCCAUACAUUCCAGCUAACUCUUACCCAACCUUUCUUUGUUCACACAGUUUCCUUUUCCUUCCUCAUUGACCCAUCCGCAUCUCUGUUUAUCCAAGACUUCUCUGUGAUAGCUGACCCUUAGUCUUUCUCUCCCCUAUUCCUCCAGACUAGAUCCUGUCUCCUUCCUGCAGCCCCGACACAGCCUUCAGUUCAUAUCUUUUGCAUGAUGCUUAGCACCUUCUAUCCCUAAGGACAACUUACUCAUUUGAGAUUUCUGGCAGGGUACCUUGCAUGCAGUGGACACUCAGUAUUUGCUGAAUUAAAUUCCUUCCUAUGGAUCCCUUCUGAUUUUUUUUAAGUGCCUCUAAUACACAUAUCAUUCUAGGGCUCAUGCCACUUUUAAUGUCAUUUUCUAAAGGAAAAUCUUAUCUAUGAUAUUUUCCCUUAUAAGAGAUAGUUGUUUUGAGUAGGGUUUUUUAAAAGAUAAAGGUAGUAGGAAAUUUUUUAAAGCCUAAAUAUCAAAUUCCUUUCCCUUUGGAGUUGGGGGAAGGAAUGAAGGGGGAGCAACUUGCUCUUUCAUAUGAGUUGGUCAUAGCAUGUAAGAACCAAUCUUGAAAUAUCGUUUUUUUUUUAAUGGCUUAUAAUGUAUUUCUAGAAAUACUUUGUACUUAAAAUGAUAACAGUUUGUAUCUUUUUGUCCAUAUAUACUUUAUAAAUAAAAAAAUUAGCAUUGUAAAUAAUGUUAAUAUGUAUUUAUACAAAAUAAAUUUACUAUAAUA